rnacentral:lncRNA from 10 species
AAGGAAAAGAAAAAUUUAACUGUUGAAAAAGAAGAAAAGACUGAUGAUCUGCCUGGUAAUCUCACAAGUGAAAGCCCCUACCCCCAGCAGAAGGCUGAAUCCCAAAGUACAAGGAGUUGGCCAGAGGAACAUGGAAGGCAAGUUUUAACAGGACAGGAAGCAGAACACACAAAGAUCCAGGGCAAUAAAGAAAAUCAUGUGUUGGAGAAUUUGCAUGCUUUUCUGAAUGGCUGGAGCACCAAUGGUACUUCUCAGCCCAGCAACAACUUCCAUUUUACAAAGACGUGCCUCCAUACACACACCUAUAUCAUAGACAACUCAUUUGCUCUGCAGUUUUUCUGUGCCUGCAAAACGGCUCCAAACUUAGGCCACUUUAACAAAUGUGGCUUCCCUGAGUUCUAUGACCAUUCCAAUGUGAUCAUUUCACAGCAGCACAGUUCUAGAAGAGCUGCUACCUGGGAACCUCUGGCACUUCCAAGCAGACUGGCUCUCUCAUGGAACUAGCCAUCAUUUGGAGAGCUGAACUUGGCUUCUUCGGUAAAUGUUACAGCUGCUAUUUGAAGAGCAAAAGAAAGAAACCACAGGGAUAACUUAAGAGGGGAGCACAAGUAUUUGGAAUGGUGAGGGGAGAUCCUGACCAAUUAGGAGAAACAUGAAAUAGAUUUGAAAGGCUUGGGAUUUUCUAAUUAUUGCUGCCUACAACUCUACUUCUUGACAGUAGCAUUUCUGACCCAAACAGCAAGAUGGGAAACCCAGCUCUAAAGUAACUAAACAUGGCUGUAGUACAAAAUAUUAUACUGUACAUUAGGUAGAAACAGAGCAGUUAUAAAGGACCCAUAGUGCUUCUGAACAAGUUUUUCAGCUGCACUGCACAUUUACUGCCUUAGAUAUCACAGCAGGUUUUCACUCCAAACCACCUAAGUAUGUAGAUUUUUAAACACCACUUAAACGAUCUUCUGCCAAAAGAAUUAAAUUACCAUUUAUAGCCUAUUCCUCUAUUAAAAAUUAAUGAAUUUACUAGCUCGUAGGAUGGAGGCCUUCAUUUGUUUUAUAAAAAAAAGCUUUGAUCUGCAAUUCUCCAAGGCUGUGAUUGUUUUUAUUCUUCAGUUCUUCUCAUUAAAAAUAAAUACCUCCGUUCUCUAAGAUACACCUGCAAAGCACUUAAAAUACCCAUUUGAAGAACAGGAAACCUAUUUUAGUUUCCCUGCUAAAGAAUCUACUGUUUAAAGUGCUUCUGCAAUGGGAAAAGCUCUUUUCUUCAGUACCCAGGCACCAUUCUGGGUGGUGAAGGACCAAAAUCCAAGGUUUGCACCUAAUCACUAUUUACAGAGCAAGCUCAAAGGGCAGCUUCUUAAAGCUGAAGAUCUAAGCUGUAAUCAGAAUUCCACACAUACUGUCUUUUGUUCAAGAGGGAGUAAUGAGUCAACUUGAAGUCAGUUUGAUGCAUUGAAUACUUCAGGCUACACACCUAAUGCAGUCUAAACUACCAGGAGUCGCUUUUCUCUAACAGAUGCCACAAGCGUUAAUAGCAAAAGGCAAAUGAGCUCUUAGUGUAUAACCAAAAGAUGGCUGGCAACAGCUAUAGUUUUCUUCUAUGCUAUCCUAUGGUAAAAUGCUCUUAACUGUGGCUUAAAUGUGUUAUGUAUUAUUAAAACAAGAGAAAUGUGAAGCUUUUCUAAGUGAACUAGUUAUCAGAGACUACUGCUAACUCAAGCAUGGUCCUUCAGGAAAACAACUACACCAAAAGCACAUACUAUAUUUGAAUAACACCAUCCAGUCCACUCAGUUACCAUGUGCAGAUUACAUAGAGAACUGAAUGAACAAACGGGAUAAGUUGGAGUCAUUCCCUCCGUGCAUAUAAGAAGGUUCUCAAAGCUAUUUCCAGGACUUCGGCAUUCACAUCCCAUUACGCACUGCUCGAUUAUCCAGGCUUCUGCAACAUGAAAUUUGGAAUAAUCAAAAACCCUGGACUGAUCCUAUCACUGGCAGUGAUUGCCUAGAGGUCGAUAGAAAAGACUUGAACCCUGAAUUUUUCCAAUCCACAGACACUGCAUACUGAACCUCUGCAAUAAAUCAACUGCCAGAAUGACAAAGCAUCACUGGCAAUGUGUAUCCCCACUGCCAAAACUGGGGAGAGUUUCGCAUUAGGAACUGUCUUCUGAUCUAAAGCUUCAGGUCAACAGAAAAGGGAAGGCAGUCAGUCUCCAGGGAGAGAGAGGGAGUCACGCUGUUUUAAGCAGCAGUUUUUACCGACACUCUCAUCUCGGGGAAAAGCACAAGCAGUGGCACUCAAGAUUGUUGCCAAGCUGUGUGCCCACUGCCUGCCAUCCUUCUGGCCACACCCCACGUCCUGGAGGAGAAGUAGGAAACAAGGUGGAACAUUCUAGAAAACAAAAUAUACAAUCCUCCAAAUAAGCCACAUUGCCAUUUCUACCCUCUGCUACCUUAAUUCAACACAUAUAGACAGAUACAUAAGGACUACAGAUACUUCUUCUUAAUUUUGGCACCAAAUUUAAAAUAUACAAAUGCCUCUUCUUAUGAGACAAAACAGGACAUGCGCAAGGGAACCAGACAGAUGAUUCUUCUGCCAAGAUAACUGUUUUUUCCUAAGCAUAAAGGGAAUACAUUAGAAGUUGGUUAAGAUUAUUUCAUAGAAACAGA